GAAUCCUCUCCUUCCCCUCUUCAUCUUGGACUCCUAACACGACACACACACAGACACACCAGACUUGAUUCCUAAGACACGACUGACUCGGAUUCCAACAAGAAGAAGAAGAAGAAGAAGAAGAAGAACCCCUCAGCCCAUAUACGGUAUAUGGCAACAGGCGAAGCCUUCACCUCCUCUUACCUAUCUAUCGCGAUAACAACUUAUUAUUUGGGAUUAGGUCGAUUUAGAUAGCCAGGACGAGGCCAGGAAAGGACUUCCCGGCGCGCUCGGGGCGGCUGCUCUCCCACACGGGAGUCCCGUGAGCCGACCCGGAGGAAGAAGAGGAGGAGCAGGAAGCGGCGGAUUUGGAGGCCGAGUCGGCGGCGACUCGGGUGAUGGUGAGGGAGGUGUUGAAGUACUCGCGGACCUGGGUGAUUAUCCCAUCCGGGGCGAUGGUCCAGGCGUGGACCCACGCGGUGUCGGCGUCGGGGCCGCUGCCCUCGGCGACGACGGUGGAGCCGAAGGCGGCGACUCGCUCGGGCUUGAACUGGAAGGCGGCGGCGGCGGUUGUCUCCUCGUAGUCCGCGCCGGUGAGCAUGCGCAUCAUGUGCUGGUGCUCCGGCGGACCAUGGAACCACCACUCGAUGUCGGGGGCCAGCAGCUGCUGCACCCGCUCCACGUCCCGCACGUUCAGGGCCUCAU
rnacentral:lncRNA from 1 species